CCUACGGGAGGCUGCAGUAGGGAAUCUUCCACAAUGGGCGAAAGCCUGAUGGAGCAACGCCGCGUGGGUGAAGAAGGCCUUCGGAUCUUAAAACUCUGUUUUUAGAGAAGUAAGUGCGUGCGAGUAUCCGUUCACGUUUCGACUGUAUCUAACCAGAAAGCCACGGCUAAUUACGUCCCAGCAGCCGCUGUAAUACGUAGGAGGCGAGCGUUAUCCGGAAUGACUUGGCGUGAAGGGAGCGUAGGUGGGUUAGUAAGUUUGCUGUGUAAGUUCGGGGCUCAACCGCAGCGCUACCACCGAAACUAUUAGACUAGAGUGCAGGAGGGGUAAGUGGAAUUCGUGGGGUAGCGGUGGAAUGCGUAGAUAUUAGGAGGAACACCAAGGGCGAAGGCGACUUACUAAACUGUAACUGACACUGAGGCACGAAAGCGUGGGGAGCAAACAGGAUUAGAUACCCGGGUAGUC
rnacentral:rRNA from 1 species